ensembl:snRNA U2 U2 spliceosomal RNA
AUCAUUCCUCAGCCUUUUGGCUAAGAUCAAGUAUAGUAUCUGUUCUAAUCAGUUUAAAAUCUGAUAAAUCCUCUAUCCAAGGACAGUCUAUUAAAUGUUGUUUUGGAGCAGGGAGAUGGAAUGGGAGCUUGCUCCCUCCUCUCCAUGCAUUGACCUAAUAUUGCAGCUACUCCAGGAAGGGUGAACACUCU